UUGCAUCAGAUGACGAGUGGCGCACGGGUGAGUAACGCGUAUACAAUCUACCUUUUACAGGGGGAUAGCCUUUAGAAAUGAAGAUUAAUAUCCCAUAGUAAGUAGUUUUGGCAUCAAGACAACUUUAAAGUUUCGGCGGUAAAAGAUGAGUAUGCGUUCUAUUAGUUAGUUGGUAAGGUAACGGCUUACCAAGACCACGAUAGAUAGGGGCCCUGAGAGGGGGAUCCCCCACACUGGUACUGAGACACGGACCAGACUCCUACGGGAGGCAGCAGUGAGGAAUAUUGGACAAUGGGCGCGAGCCUGAUCCAGCCAUGCCGCGUGCAGGAAGACUGCCCUAUGGGUUGUAAACUGCUUUUAUACAGGAAGAAACCUUUUCACGUGUGAAAAGCUGACGGUACUGUAAGAAUAAGGAUCGGCUAACUCCGUGCCAGCAGCCGCGGUAAUACGGAGGAUCCAAGCGUUAUCCGGAAUCAUUGGGUUUAAAGGGUCCGUAGGUGGAUAAUUAAGUCAGGGGUGAAAGUUUGCAGCUCAACUGUAAAAUUGCCUUUGAUACUGGUUAUCUUGAAUUAUUGUGAAGUGGUUAGAAUAUGUAGUGUAGCGGUGAAAUGCAUAGAUAUUACAUAGAAUACCAAUUGCGAAGGCAGAUCACUAACAAUAUAUUGACACUGAUGGACGAAAGCGUGGGGGAGCGAACAGGAUUAGAUACCCUGGUAGUCCACGCCGUAAACGAUGGAUACUAGCUGUUCGGUUUUCGGACUGAGUGGC
rnacentral:rRNA from 2 species